rnacentral:rRNA from 1 species
UACGGGGGGGGCAAGCGUUGUUCGGAAUUACUGGGCGUAAAGGGCUCGUAGGCGGCCAACUAAGUCGGAUGUGAAAUCCCCAGGCUCAACCUGGGAACUGCAUCCGAUACUGGAUGGCUUGAAUCCGGGAGAGGGAUGCGGAAUUCCAGGUGUAGCGGUGAAAUGCGUAGAUAUCUGGAGGAACACCGGUGGCGAAGGCGGCAUCCUGGACCGGCAUUGACGCUGAGGCGCGAAAGCUAGGGGAGCAAACGGG